CUGGCGGUGAACGUCCAGCGAUCCUCCGACUCGAGCAGCGCCUCCGUCGUGAAAUGGUCGCCGUCGGCCAGCACGCCGAGCACCGUCUCGUCGCCGUAUUUGCCGAGGCCGAUCUUCUCGACCUUGCCGCGCACGAUGAGGCAGAUCUGGUCCGCCGGCCUGCCCCUCUCCACGAUCACGUCGCCCGGCUUCACGCUGCGCUGGGUGAACCUGUCGGCGAGCUCCUCCAGCACGGCGUCGUCCUCGAAGCCGCGCAGGAACGACAGCUCGCCGAGCUCCCGCGGGAUCACGCGCACGCUCCCGCCGACCUCGGUGAAGGUCACGCGGCCGUCGCCCACGGCGUACGAGAGCCGCCGAUUGACGCGGAACACACCCGCAGAGACCUCCACCCACGGCAACACCUUGAGGAGCCACCGCGGCGUGAUCGCCGCCAUCUGCGGCGGCGAUUUCGUGGUCGUCGCAAGCUUCCGCGCCGCCGCCGUACCCAGGCUGAGCUGCGUGUGCCCGC
rnacentral:antisense_RNA from 1 species